GAUGAACGCUGGCGGCGUGCCUAAUACAUGCAAGUCGAGCGAACAGACGAGGAGCUUGCUCCUCUGACGUUAGCGGCGGACGGGUGAGUAACACGUGGAUAACCUACCUAUAAGACUGGGAUAACUUCGGGAAACCGGAGCUAAUACCGGAUAAUAUAUUGAACCGCAUGGUUCAAUAGUGAAAGACGGUUUUGCUGUCACUUAUAGAUGGAUCCGCGCCGCAUUAGCUAGUUGGUAAGGUAACGGCUUACCAAGGCUACGAUGCGUAGCCGACCUGAGAGGCUGAUCGGCCACACUGGAACUGAGACACGGUCCAGACUCCUACGGGAGGCAGCAGUAGGGAAUCUUACGCAAUGGGCGAAAGCCUGACGGAGCAACGCCGCGUGAGUGAUGAAGGUCUUCGGAUCGUAAAACUCUGUUAUUAGGGAAGAACAAAUGUGUAAGUAACUAUGCACGUCUUGACGGUACCUAAUCAGAAAGCCACGGCUAACUACGUG
rnacentral:rRNA from 1 species